rnacentral:rRNA from 1 species
UACGGGGGGUGCAAGCGUUGUUCGGAAUCAUUGGGCGUAAAGAGCGUGUAGGCGGCUGGAUAAGUCAGAUGUGAAAGCCCUGGGCUUAACCCAGGAAGUGCAUUUGAAACUAUUCAGCUGGAGUAAGGGAGAGGAAAGUGGAAUUCCUGGUGUAGAGGUGAAAUUCGUAGAUAUCAGGAGGAACACCGGUGGCGAAGGCGACUUUCUGGCCCGAUACUGACGCUCAGGCGCGAAAGCGUGGGGAGCAAACAGG